UACGUAGGGUGCAAGCGUUGUCCGGAAUUAUUGGGCGUAAAGAGCUCGUAGGCGGUUCGUCAAGUCGGUUGUGAAAUCCCGAGGCUCAACCUCGGGUCUGCAGUCGAUACGGGCGGACUGGAGUACUGCAGGGGAGACUGGAAUUCCUGGUGUAGCGGUGAAAUGCGCAGAUAUCAGGAGGAACACCGGUGGCGAAGGCGGGUCUCUGGGCAGUAACUGACGCUGAGGAGCGAAAGCGUGGGGAGCGAACAGG
rnacentral:rRNA from 1 species